GUUAAUUUGUUUACCAAAUAGGUUGAUCUUAAAUCCUUGAUCUUCAAAUGAUGAUCAAAUGAUGAUCAAAAGCAGUAAGUCCAAGCUUCUGGCAUCAAAUCAUUUCCACCAAGUGGAGUAAGAGCAAGGCAGAGAAUAACUGGGCCUCCACACCAGUAAAGCAUCUCAUAACAAGUACUGGGAUUAUUAUAAGGAUUGGCCUAUGUGAUGAUGCACUUUGUAAAUAGAAAAGAACCAGGUUAUUAUAUUGAUGCUUAAAGAAGCUAAUCAUGAAAAAAAAUAAGAGGCCCAGAGUGGAAUCAGUCAUGGCAGAGGCAAAAUAAUUCUACAGCUCCUGUGCUCUGAUAUCCUUGUUUUUACACUGCGAGUCGUCAUCCCGAUGUAAAGAAGGUCGCAAGGGCAUUGGAUGGCAUAGACCACUCCUUUGGUGUUGCAGGAGUUCCAAGUCCUUUCUACUCAAGACUGUUUUGUCCUGACUUACAGUCCUCAGUGAAGAUACAUCAUUCCAGUUCAUCUGCAGACAACUCUGGGACAUAUACUUCCUAUACAGAAUGUGUAAAGACAACUUGUGACCCUCCAGAUAUUGUGGACUACAACUGGCAUCUAUCCUAGCUAGAUUCUAUCCCAAAAGCAAGAGCUGAUGUGAUGCAACAACCUCUGCAAUUGCCUGCCAUUGAUUUCCAGGACUUUGCGGAGGGUAUAUUAAACUCAGGGGCUUUUGUACUGAAUUGUAACCCAGAUUAAAAGUCGGAAGUUCCCAUUGGCACCGGUUUA